rnacentral:RNase_P_RNA from 1 species
GCCUUGUGUUAGAUAGCUACUCUUCGAUUUAUAUCGGAGAGAGGAAAGUCCGAACACAUAGCCCUUUGGGUUAAACGUAGCGGGUAAUUCCCGUCGUCCGCAAGGAUAGAGGUGCGAACAGAGACGAGCUCCUUUAGUGGAGGUGAAACGGCAAAAUCCUUACGCGUGUGCAAGAUCGUGCUCCGACCUCGGUCGGAGAGAAUCGCUUGAGUCCUGUAGUAAUGCAGGACCUAGACAAAUUGCUAUCGCUCCGACCUCGGUCGGGGUCACAAAAUUCGGCUUAUAGACACAAGGCUAAA